AGCGAACGUUAGCGGCGGGCCUAACACAUGCAAGUCGAACGCGAAAGGUCUUCGGACUGAUUAGAGUGGCGCACGGGUGAGUAACACGUAGGUAAUCUACCCUUUGGCGGGGGAUAACGUUCCGAAAGGAGCGCUAAUACCGCAUAAGACCACGGAGUCUCCGGACGCUGUGGGAAAAGGUGGCCUCUUCUUGAAAGCUAUCACCGGAGGAUGAGCCUGCGUCCCAUCAGCUAGUUGGUAAGGUAAUGGCUUACCAAGGCAAAGACGGGUAGCUGGUUUGAGAGAAUGAUCAGCCACACUGGCACUGGAACACGGGCCAGACUCCUACGGGAGGCAGCAGUGAGGAAUAUUGGGCAAUGGGCGAAAGCCUGACCCAGCCACGCCGCGUGAGUGAUGAAGGCCUCGG
rnacentral:rRNA from 1 species